rnacentral:rRNA from 1 species
CAGGUGAAGCUGAGCACUCUAGACGAACUGCCGUUGAGUAAAUCGGAGGAAGGUGGGGACGACGUCAAAUCAUCAUGCCCUUUAUGUCCUGGGCUACACACGUACUACAAUGGCCGUUACAACGGGAAGCGAAGGAGCAAUCCGGAGCAAAUCCCUUAAAGGCGGUCCCAGUUCAGAUUGUGGGCUGAAACUCGCCCACAUGAAGGCGGAAUUGCUAGUAAUUGCAGAUCAGCAUGCUGCCUAGUCCGAAUACGUUCCGGCCUU